rnacentral:rRNA from 1 species
UUUAUUUUAUAAAAUUGUUGAGUAGGGUUUUUAGGUUUAUUUGCCUUUUGCAUCAUGCUUAAUAGAUUUUAAAAAGUAUUUUUAUUACCGAAUAGUUUAGAUCUUAGAAUUGAUUAUUUGGAAUAGAUUUAUCUCUUAAGUAAAGUAGAUGAAAAUUAAUUUUAAGAAGUGAUAAAUUACUCGUUAAACUUUAUAUCUGUUUAGUUACUUGCGUAUAUCGAAGAAUAGGGUAGACUAUUAGGUCUAUCUUAAGUUUAUAUUGAAUUAUGAUUGUCUGUAAAAUUAGGUUAAAGGUACCUAUUUUUUGUGAGUUUGUUAAAAGAAUUUGUAUUUGGUUUGGAUAAUUAAUUCUUGUGGUAACUUAGUAUAACUUUUAGUUCUGAAGAAUUAUUAAAUAAGUAAUUGUAUUAUGUUAAUUAUUUCUCAGGGUCUUUCCGUCUGUUUAUUAAAAACAUUUCCAGUUUAAAAUUUAGCUGGUAGUGCCUGCCCAGUGUAAUUUUUAUAAAUGGCCGCAGUAUACUGACUGUGCAAAGGUAGCAUAAUUAAUUGCCUUUUAAUUGGGGGCUUGUUUGAAUGGUUUGACGUGGAAGAUUUGAAUAUUUGGCAUUUUUUUGAAAUUAAUUUUAGGGGUUCAGAAUCCCUUUUUUUUAAUAAGACGGAAAGACCCUAGGAUCUUUUCUUUUUGUUUGGGGCAAAUUUUACUUUUUUAGGAAAAUUGUGACCCUAAUUAUUAAAGUUUAGUGGGUUAAGUUACCCUAGGGAUAACAGUGUAAUGGUUGAUGAGAGAUCCUAUCGAAUUAACCGUUUGCCACCUCGAUGUUGACUUAGGUUAAAGUUCAGGUGCAGCAGUUUGAACUUUUGGUCUGUUCGACCAAAUUUACCUUCAUGAGUUGAGUUAAGACCGGCGUGAGCCAGGUCGGUUCUUAUCUAUUUGAGAAAUUUAUCAGUACGAAAGGACAGUAAAUUUUUUUAUU